rnacentral:lncRNA from 1 species
GAGCACUUAAUCAACAUGCAAAGGUAAGGUGCGAAACGGGUAGGUACUUGUAGACGUUAGUAAUCGGGGCACCACUGGAGGAGUAGCGCAGUGCUUCACAAAGAAGCGCUUCCGAGUAGAAAGUGAACUAGGUCGAGGCUUGCUGGAUAACGUUUGACGCUUUUGCCCCCAAGCCGUGGAUCGAGCCGUGGAUGGAGAAAUUCCUGAGAGUCCUUGGGCCGCUGAGAAAUUGCGCCUCAUCCUAAAGCAAACAUUUACAUUUAUAUUUUGCAACAUAUGAAGCUAGACGCAGCCCAAGACACGUGCUAGGCCGUUCCCGACGACAGCCGUAGCGAAGGAAAUAACCGGUCGCGAGGAGGAUUUGAAUGCAUGCGGUAAGUCCGAUUAUUUUACUAUUUCUUUCUUUGCGUAAAAGAGUUAGUACCGCUUGACGUUAAAGUGCUGUUGUCAUCCGUGCGCUUGUGUGCAUGAGUUUGGGCUCUUUCGGAGCGAUGACGUCGGUGGGGUGCAGUCGGUGGGGUGCAGUCGGAGGGGUGCAGUCGGAGAGGUGCAGAGCGGUGCCCCAUCCUCACAUCCUGGGUGACCCCCAUUUUCUAUCCUCGAGUCAACACCUCGCAUCCUGGUGACUGCAUCCCCCUCCUCCGCCAUCCUCAUCCUUGGUGGGUUGGCAUCGACCCUCCACAUUUGCCGCCAUCCUGGGCCCCCUGCCAUCUUUUGUCCUGGGUGGGGCCCCACAUUUUUAUCCUAUUCGUUCCCAUCCGUAUCCUAUGCCCGACUCUCUGCCGCAUCCUGACCGCGCUGUCAACCUCCUGUCCAGUAGAGGUCCAGUCGGUCGUCUGUCGUCCUUUACGGAACAUGGUUCUGGAGCGCCUGCAAUCAACUUAGGCAAUUGGAAGUCAAUAUAUGAGCGCAAAUAGCUCAUUAUCUCUCUCUCUUGUAUAUGAAAGUGUGCCUGUAACAUUUUGGAGAUUCUCAGAGCCGGACUGCUUCGCUGUGUCGCCGUCAAAGCCUGCCAGCCAACGAUUGCCGACCCGCUAUUGUCACAAGCCAAUUUACAAAUAGCACCAUUGCUCACGGAAAGAACCGCGACACGAUAAGCUUCUGCCAGCUACCCUCUCCAGCUGAAAUGCUAAGAUGUUGACCAAUUGCGCAACAUCAAACAAUCAAGCAAUGCCGCGUGAAUACAUCACGUGCAUACUUACUUAACCAAGUCUCGAGCUGUUUCUGCGCUUGCUGGUCCUCCACAGCUGGUAAUGUUAACGCCCGCGACCCCGAUCACGAAAUCCUUUUAAUUAUAUCGAAGUUCUAAUGAUUUUUAUCUGGUUAUCUCGCAUAGAUUCCUUUACUAAGUAUGGCUUUGAAGGCCGGCGGUUGAAACGCUUCACGCUAAGGCAAGGAUUGUACAAGGAAACUAAGAUUGAAACAAACUCAAAACAAUUCUACCAUUACUCGGGGCACAGGCUUUACUGCAGAUAGGGGCGGAGCCGCCUGGGGUUGGUACCCGUCUGCCUUCCUGCUUGCGUCUCGGCGCGUCGCUAUCUGCCUGGAUGCCUGCGUAUGCAGGCAAACAGUAUUACAUCUGACAAAACUGCAGCUUGAUAUUGAAAACCUUAUCAUAGACUUGAUAUUUUGGAGGAUGAUCUUGCAAGCCGGCGUAAAGUGAUUCGCGAUGAAAGCUUUGUUCAGAUUUGUGAAGGCACGGUUGUCAAAUGUAAGGCUCACCAUGGCUGGGAGCUUAUCACGUCGACUAUUCAACCUAGAUUCACCAUAAAUUAAACUCUGACUGCGCCGUUGCUAAAGUCGUUGCAUAUCUGAAACCCGGUGUUAUGGCGUCUUUCAAUUUAGAUCUCCUGCCUCUCCUUUAAUAUUGGUAUCUCAAAUAAAAUUAGGAUAUCUUAAUUACACUUGCAAAUCUAAACGUGCGUGGUCACCACAUUUCGGGUGCAAUUGGCUACGUCGAUGUGGGCAUCAUGGAAGCGCUUGCUUCAUAACGAGUAACGUAAUUACGCAUUAAGAUUUUGCUCCGUAAGAUCCUUAGUUUUCUUAAAGCAGCACGUUUUCCAAGUCAGACUUUGCUCUAACUGCUCUGUUUCCGCCGCGUCGGACAUCCGUAACGAUAACUCGUUACGG